GAUGAACGCUGGCGGCGUGCCUAAUACAUGCAAGUCGAGCGAACGGACGAGAAGCUUGCUUUUCUGAUGUUAGCGGCGGACGGGUGAGUAACACGUGGAUAACCUACCUAUAAGACUGGGAUAACUUCGGGAAACCGGAGCUAAUACCGGAUAAUAUUUUGAACCGCAUGGUUCAAAAGUGAAAGACGGUCUUGCUGUCACUUAUAGAUGGAUCCGCGCUGCAUUAGCUAGUUGGUAAGGUAACGGCUUACCAAGGCAACGAUGCAUAGCCGACCUGAGAGGGGGAUAGGCAACACUGGAGCGGAAACACGGUCAAGACGACUAAGGGAGGCAGCAGUAGGGAAUCUUACGCAAUGGGCGAAAGAAUGACGGAGCAAGGCCGCGUGAGUGAUGAAGGUCUUCGGAUCGUAAAACUCUGUUAUGAGGGAAGAACAUAUGUGGAAGUAACUGUGCACAUAGUGACGGUACCUAAUCAGAAAGCCACGGCUAACUACGUG
rnacentral:rRNA from 1 species